rnacentral:rRNA from 1 species
GACGAACGCUGGCGGCGUGCUUAACACAUGCAAGUCGAACGGGAAGGCCCUGCUUUUGUGGGGUGCUCGAGUGGCGAACGGGUGAGUAACACGUGAGUAACCUGCCCUUGACUUUGGGAUAACUUCAGGAAACUGGGGCUAAUACCGGAUAGGAGCUCCUGCUGCAUGGUGAGGGUUGGAAAGUUUCGGCGGUUGGGGAUGGACUCGCGGCUUAUCAGCUUGUUGGUGGGGUAGUGGCUUACCAAGGCUUUGACGGGUAGCCGGCCUGAGAGGGUGACCGGCCACAUUGGGACUGAGAUACGGCCCAGACUCCUACGGGAGGCAGCAGUGGGGAAUAUUGCACAAUGGGCGGAAGCCUGAUGCAGCAACGCCGCGUGCGGGAUGACGGCCUUCGGGUUGUAAACCGCUUUCGCCUGUGACGAAGCGUGAGUGACGGUAAUGGGUAAAGAAGCACCGGCUAACUACGUG